AGUGAACGCUGGCGGUAGGCCUAACACAUGCAAGUCGAACGGCAGCACAGUAAGAGCUUGCUCUUACGGGUGGCGAGUGGCGGACGGGUGAGGAAUACAUCGGAAUCUACUUUUUCGUGGGGGAUAACGUAGGGAAACUUACGCUAAUACCGCAUACGACCUACGGGUGAAAGCAGGGGAUCUUCGGACCUUGCGCGAUUGAAUGAGCCGAUGUCGGAUUAGCUAGUUGGCGGGGUAAAGGCCCACCAAGGCGACGAUCCGUAGCUGGUCUGAGAGGAUGAUCAGCCACACUGGAACUGAGACACGGUCCAGACUCCUACGGGAGGCAGCAGUGGGGAAUAUGGGACAAUGGGCGCAAGCCUGAUCCAGCCAUACCGCGGGGGUGAAGAAGGCCUUCGGGUUGUAAAGCCCUUUUGUUGGGAAAGAAAAGCAGCAGGUUAAGACCCCGCUGUUCUGACGGUACCAAAAGAAUAAGCACCGGCUAACUUCGU
rnacentral:rRNA from 1 species